GUGAGGAAUAUUGGGCAAUGGGCGAAAGCCUGACCCAGCCACGCCGCGUGAGUGAUGAAGGCCUUCGGGUUGUAAAGCUCUGUGGGGAGGGAAGAAAAAGCGCAGGAGUAACUGCCUGUGUGUUGACGGUACCUCCUUAGCAAGCACCGGCUAACUCUGUGCCAGCAGCCGCGGUAAUACAGAGGGUGCAAACGUUGCUCGGAAUUACUGGGCGUAAAGCGCGUGUAGGCUGACAUGCAAGUCGGGUGUGAAAUCCCAGGGCUCAACCUUGGAACUGCACUCGAAACUGCACGUCUUGAGUACUGGAGAGGGAAGCGGAAUGCCGGGUGUAGAGGUGAAAUGCGUAGAUAUCCGGAGGAACACCAGUGGCGAAGGCGGCUUCCUGGACAGUAACUGACGCUGAGACGCGAAAGCGUGGGGAGCAAACAGGAUUAGAAACCCCUGUAGUCC
rnacentral:rRNA from 1 species